CCUACGGGCGGCUGCAGUGGGGAAUAUUGCACAAUGGGCGCAAGCCUGAUGCAGCCAUGCCGCGUGUGUGAAGAAGGCCUUCGGGUUGUAAAGCACUUUCAGCGGGGAGGAAGGCGGUGAGGUUAAUAACCUCAUCGAUUGACGUUACCCGCAGAAGAAGCACCGGCUAACUCCGUGCCAGCAGCCGCGGUAAUACGGAGGGUGCAAGCGUUAAUCGGAAUUACUGGGCGUAAAGCGCACGCAGGCGGUCUGUCAAGUCGGAUGGGAAAUCCCCGGGCUCAACCUGGGAACUGCAUUCGAAACUGGCAGGCUAGAGUCUUGUAGAGGGGGGUAGAAUUCCAGGUGUAGCGGUGAAAUGCGUAGAGAUCUGGAGGAAUACCGGUGGCGAAGGCGGCCCCCUGUACAAAGACUGACGCUCAGGUGCGAAAGCGUGGGGAGCAAACAGGAUUAGAUACCCUUGUAGUC
rnacentral:rRNA from 1 species